GCGCUCUGAGGGAAGAGGUGAGGUAUUGCCCGAGGAACUGGUGAGCAUGCAUUCGGUCUGCGCUGUGUUAUCCUGAGGUGCUGAGGAGAUCGCGGCGGGCAGCCCCGUCAGGGAGGUGGUGAGCACAGGUGCUAGAACAAAAAAAAAAAAAAUCCAUCUAGGGGAGCUUGUUCUAUGAAUGACAAAAAAGAGUAGAGCAGCAGGAAUGAUGAUUGAAGAGAAAGGCAGCCUGGGCAAAGGUACUGCCCUGUCAACCGGUAAGGACUUCAGUUGGCAGCAGCCUGUGAAGAAGAAGGAAGAGGCAUCAUGUGGAACUGUGAGGCAAGAAUGAGCAGCAAGAGGAUGAGGGAGCAGAAGACUGAAGAGGGGCAAAAAUGAAGGCACCUUGGGGAAACAGACCGCCCUGUCAGUAGGGCUACAGUAAGGAGAGCAGUGUUGGCACCUUAGGUGCCCAGCUGGUGCAGAAGGACGAAGAGGCAUCAUGUGGAACGACGAGGCAAGGGUGAGCGGGAAGAGGGA